GGGGUCUGAGCUCCAUCCAGUUUGAACCUCUAUCAACUGGCCUCCGUAGCAAAGCACACAGCGUCGACAACAACAACAACAACGUGAAACGAAUUAUUUCUAUCUGACCGGUUAAAUCAGUCGUGUCGCCAUGGUGAAAGGGGACGUUAAUAAACCCAAGGGCAAGACGUCAGCCUACGCCUUCUUCGUCCAGACCUGCCGGGAGGAACAGAAGAUUAAACAACCCGACCAGUCGGUCAACUUCGCCGAGUUCUCCAAGCAGUGUUCAGAGAGAUGGAGGGCUUCCACUGUGAUUGACAAGCGUCGUUUUGAGGACAUGGCGAAGAACGACAAGGUGCGAUAUGAGAGGGACAUGAGGGGGUACGUCCCCCAAGGGGAUGGCCAAGAGUGGUAGGAGGAAGAAGGACCCCAACGCUCCCAAAAGACCCCCGUCUGCCUUUUUUGUGUUCUCAGCAGAGUUCCGUCCGACGGUCAAACAGGAGUUCCCAGGCUGUUCUAUAGGAGAGACAGCUAAGAAGCUGGGGAUCAUGUGGGGUCAACAGACUCCAACCCAGAAACAGCCGUUUGAAGAGAAGGCUCUCCGACUGAGGGAGAAAUACGACAAGGAUAUGGCCGCAUACCGCUCUGGUGCGAACGUUAAGCGGGUGCCGAUGCGACCCGGUCCCGGUGGCUCGUCCAAUAUGAUGCCCCACGCCAUGGCCGGUGGCGACGAUGAUGAUGACGACGACCUGGAGGACGACGAAGAUGAGGAUGACGACGAUGAUGAGUAAAGUGUUAGCGUGGUGUUCGUGCCUGUUGGAUUGGUGCGUUCGAUUUAGCGCUCGCCUAGUGGGCGGAGUUUGCGCAUUUUGAGACCAUUCCAUUGGUCCUAAAGUGGAAACUCCGCCCUCCCAGGGUCGCGGCGAGGUAAAACGAACAAACCCAGUUCCACCGGAAUCCUAACGGGCCAGAGGAGGAAUCUGAUUGGCUGAAAGUUAUGUGUGCCUGUCAGUGACCCUGCAGGGUUGAGGGCUGACCAGAGGUCAAAGGUUAGUUAGGUCAGGGGUUAGUUAGAGCUGGACUGGACCAGACACGACCUAAAGGGGACUCAUAAUAUCACCGUGUAACUGAAUAGUCGUCAUCGCAAACAUCUGUAACCCUGGAAACAGUUGCUGUGGGCCAACACGUCCAAUAGCAGACCUCUGUUGGGAGCUGAAUGUUGUGGGUGUCUUCAUUCGGUGUUGCUGUUUGUAGAAGGUUGUUGUUGUUCCCAGGGUUGUGUGUGGUCCUAGUGGUGUUCAGGCUCUACAAUAUUAUCACGUGUCGUAACAGAGCUGUGUGACGCUACAGACUCUUUUAAAAUAUACACUUUAUUUUUUUGGUUUUUAAUUUUCUUUUUUUAAUGGAAAAAUGUGUCCUGAAACAAUAUGUAGAAAUUGACUUUUAUAAUAAAAUAAAAAUAUGAUUCUGAAAA